CCUACGGUGGGCAGCAGUGGGGAAUAUUGGGCAAUGGGCGCAAGCCUGACCCAGCAACGCCGCGUGAAGGAAGAAGGCCCUCGGGUUGUAAACUUCUUUUAUUCGGGACGAAACAAAUGACGGUACCGAAUGAAUAAGCCACGGCUAACUACGUGCCAGCAGCCGCGGUAAUACGUAGGUGGCAAGCGUUAUCCGGAUUUAUUGGGUUUAAAGGGUGCGUAGGCGGAAUACCAAGUCCGCGGUAAAAUCGCGGGGCUAAACCUCGCUCCGCCGUUGAAACUGGCGUUCUAGAGUGGGCGAGAAGGAUGCAGAAUGCGUGGUGUAGCGGUGAAAUGCAUAGAUAUCACGCAGAACUCCGAUUGCGAAGGCAGCAUACCGGAGACAAACUGACGCUGAAGUACGAAAGCGUGGGUAUCGAACAGGAUUAGAUACCCCAGUAGUC
rnacentral:rRNA from 1 species